UGUCUCAAAUCUUUGUUUGAACACAAGGAGCCAAUCCUAUGAACCCUUCAUGACUUUGAAACUGCUCAGCCAGUUCAUUUAAUGAGGCAGUGAAGAGAUCAGCAUCGUUUAGUUGUGCUUUCUCUUGUAAAAGUCCUGGAUGUAAGAUAUCCCACAAGUCCAACAAGCACUGAUUCCUUUGUCCCCAGAAUUUUCAAAAGUGAUUCAAAAUCGGUUUUGUUUUUAGAGGAAACAGAAUGCCAGUUACUCCACAAACUCUUCAAUUUUUCUAGGUGACUUUUUUUUUAAUUGAGACAUUAUCUGGUAAUUUCUCAUUCGUCAACUCCUUCAUAACAGAAAGAAACCUCUUCCUGGUUUCUUCUGGCCAAUCCAUAUUGUACCACACAUCCCACAGAAAACCAAAAUCUUCAUCAUUGUCAGGAUUGAAAUCACUUGCUGACACAAUUUUCAAAAUUAUGAUAUUUCGAGCCAAUACAGAAGGCUGAAAAU